AGGGCCCUUUAAGAUCUUCUGAUUGAAGCCCUUCAUGUAGUCAUGCUGUUCCUCACUUGGCCAUCGCCUGUAUCUUGAGCCAUAAUCGGAGGCAGGGGGCAGUGACCAGAGCUGUAGCCCUAGAAGCACACACUGAGGUUGGGGAGAAGGGGAUUCUGAGCAGCACUUUACUCUAGUUGUAACCUUCUGAGUGGGACUGGGGUCAUGAACACUGAAUCAGAGUCUUUCGAUCAAUGUACUGUCAUUGGAAACACAGAGGCCAGUUGUCCCCUGAUGUGUCUGGGAAUCAAAUAGGAUAAAAUGAGCUGAAGGUGAGGUUAGAAGGACUUAGAUUAGACUUUCAGAAGGACUGGCGUAGUGGAAACAGUGAUUGUGGCAUUGUUUUCUCUAGGAGGCUUUUAAAAAUAGGAACUGUUUUAUUUGAUCUGGGGUAGGUAUGGAAGUCUUUAUAUAAGGUUAUGGAGUGAUGGUCAGUUUGAUUGUCUAGGGUCACCUCUAGCAAGCCCAAGCAGCUGAGAAAUCCUCAGUCUUUAAGUAAGACAGACCUGGAGGAAAGAAAGGCAGACUUGGAGCUGGGGAAGGUGGGGGAAGGGAGGCAGGUAUUGGUGGAGGGUUGCUGAAGACCAUCUGUGUUUCAUUACAGAGCUGCCACACUCACCCUCCCCCCGUGUGCCCUUCUUCCCACCUUCCCUCUCUGUCUCUGUCUCUCUCUCAAACGCACAGACCACUGCUCCGUCUCCACUCCUGUCCUUAAUUCUAGAGAGGAUGCUGAAGGAGCAUCAUAUCAGACUCCCGUUCCUUCUUCCCAGGCUCCAUAGAUACAGCUCUCAAAGCUGAGGACUGUACCGUCUUCUGGAGCCCAGUUUCCCUGCCCGUCUUUGCUGCCGUUCACACUGUUUCUUUACGGAGGCAAGCUUCUUUGUCUCAGGGAUCGAGGGUUUUCCUAAAUCUCCCAGCUUUGCCCAGCCCCUGUCUGAGAAUAGCUGGACUGGGAUGAAACCACAAAGAGAGAGAGGGGUGGAGGUAGAGAAGGCUUCGGGUUUCUCUCCUGGACUGGGUGCACUCUGCUUAAUUAGCAUGAGAAUAGAAAGACGGUCUCCCUACCUCCCUUAGGGAUGGAGAGGAACUGAAGAGCAAAGACUCACGCUCUGUCCUACUCCAUCAGAGAUUCUGGGACUGGGGAAAUGACCACUUUCACAUUCCUCCGAUCCUCUGCGGACCCCAGGACCCAGGGUACUGAGAAAAGCUUUGAUGGAGCCGGCUGGUGGAUCUCCACUCCAGAUUUUCCAGCUGUCCCUGUCCCCCCACCGCUCAGAGAGCAGGAUGCUGAGAUGGCUCGGUGAUGCAGAAGAAAAAUCACUGGCAAAGAGUGACUGGGAUGCCUGGCCAUAGGUUUUGAAACCACUAUGGCUCCAUUCCUUUACCUCUGAGCACAUGAAAAGGCAGAUCAUCCCAUAUGCUGAUAAGGAAAAGUCCAGUUGUCCUCGAAGGUGAGAUGUGAUCAUUGUUCUUCAUCUCAGUGGAAUAAACUACACAGAAGCAUGCUAAUUAUCAGCAGGAGACGAACUUGUCCCCAGAAAGUCAAGGUCUUACACUUCAGUGGUCUUGACUGCAAAGUUCCCAGCCUUUCCUGCUUGCCAGACAGGCUUUGAGUGAAGAUAAUCCAGGAGAGAGGGAGAAGUUGGAGGUUCUGAAGAGAAAAGAUCAUGGUAAGGCUUGAUGUCUUCUAGGAUUUAAGAAACAAUGGCACCCAGUGCCAAAGGGAAAAGAUGAGCUUCGAGAGGGAAGAAGGAUGUGAUGAAGGCCAGUGAAUAGGUGAGUUCAUAGGUAAGAUGUGGGGCUUCACCUCCAGUGGCUUCUAUUCUUCUAGACUGAAGAAUGAGGUGAAACCAUGAGCAAUGAGUGAACAAGUGCUUGGACCUGUUCUCUUUCUCAUGGCAUGAAACUAAUUUUGCCAGUUCUUAAGAUAGUCAAGGGCCUCCCUGGUGGCUCAGUGGUAAAGAAUCUGCUUAUCAUGCAGGAGAUGCAGAAGACAUG